CCUACGGGUGGCAGCAGUCGAGAAUCAUUCACAAUGGGGGAAACCCUGAUGGUGCGACGCCGCGUGGGGGAAUGAAGGUCUUCGGAUUGUAAACCCCUGUCAUGUGGGAGCAAAUUAAAAAGAUCGUACCACACGAGGAAGAGACGGCUAACUCUGUGCCAGCAGCCGCGGUAAUACAGAGGUCUCAAGCGUUGUUCGGAAUCACUGGGCGUAAAGCGUGCGUAGGCUGUUUCGUAAGUCGUGUGUGAAAGGCGCGGGCUCAACCCGCGGACGGCACAUGAUACUGCGAGACUAGAGUAAUGGAGGGGGAACCGGAAUUCACGGUGUAGCAGUGAAAUGCGUAGAUAUCGAGAGGAACACUCGUGGCGAAGGCGGGUUCCUGGACAUUAACUGACGCUGAGGCACGAAGGCCAGGGGAGCGAAAGGGAUUAGAUACCCCAGUAGUC
rnacentral:rRNA from 1 species